UACAGAGGGUGCGAGCGUUAAUCGGAAUUACUGGGCGUAAAGCGUGCGUUAGACGGUUAUUUAAGUCGGGUGUGAAAGCCCCGGGCUCAACCUGGGAAUUGCAUUCGAGACUGAAUAGCUAGGGUACGGUAGAGGGAAGUGGAAUUUCCGGUGUAGCGGUGAAAUGCGUAGAUAUCGGAAGGAACAUCAGUGGCGAAGGCGGUUCUCUGGGACGGGUACUGACGCUGAGACGCGAAAGCGUGGGGAGCGAACAGG
rnacentral:rRNA from 1 species